rnacentral:rRNA from 1 species
UACGUAGGGGGCGAGCGUUGUCCGGAUUUAUUGGGCGUAAAGAGCGCGCAGGCGGUCGUUCAAGUCGAGUGUGAAAGCCCCCGGCUCAACUGGGGAGGGUCACUCGAUACUGAUCGACUUGAAGGCGGGAGAGGGAAGCGGAAUUCCCGGUGUAGUGGUGAAAUGCGUAGAUAUCGGGAGGAACACCAGUGGCGAAGGCGGCUUUCUGGCCCGUUCUUGACGCUGAGGCGCGAAAGCUAGGGUAGCAAACGGG